ACCAGAUUGAAUCAGUUGGUUUGAUUAUGCUACAAAGCAACUUUUGGCCUACAUCAUUAUUUUUCUUUGUAAAAGACCCUGAGUUUCAGAAAGGUGCUAUAUGUAUAAAUCUUGGAACGAAAACAGGGCUGUGUGAAAACAUAACACUAAACCACUUAAACAAUCCCAUCAUAUAACAGCAAGAACUGUAACUGUGAGUAGUUUUUUUUUUUUUUUUUUUUUUUUUUUACAUUUAUUUAAUCUAAAAAAGAUUAAGGAGGGUGGGGACGGUUGCAACAAGGGGCAGUUGCAACAUGGCUUAUUCCUCCAAUCAGAAAUAAGCUACAGUGAUGAUAUAUUGCACAUGCUCAGUUAGCCCCUCCUCCUACCUGGAAGAAAGCAGGUACAUGUGACCAUUCCUUCUGCAAAAUGGCCUACCAAUACAAACAGUCUCUGAGAAACUGAAGGGAAUGUAAAAAGUGUUGCAACUGUCCCCACAUAACGUAAUUAUUUGUAUAUUUGUUUGGUUAUUAAGAUUAUGUUAGUAAAUCUGAGUUAAUGUUUGACAAAUAGUUCUUGAUAUUUUCAAACUCUUCAUUUCAGGCUUGUGCAUGCUACAAUAUUAAUAACAUUUGUAGUCAAUUGACUGUGGUGGUCCAGGCAUGUCCGCCCACAAAUAAACACCUCCGUCUAUUAUGUAAAACAGGCAUUAAUGAAGAAUGCCCAUCUACAUCUACUAUAGCCAACGUGCUUCAUAUAUAGGCCGACAAACUCCACGACAGACACUCAUCAUCACUAGAGCUCACUUCAGAUGUUCUCAGAGAUGCAGCGAGAGCGCGCCGACAUGCUGGUCAGAAGAAAAUACAAGAGAUACUCCAAACAGAAAAUGACGUACCUGGGUCUGAUCGCUUAUGUCAUUCAAAACGUACCUGAGAAAAGAUUAACGUUUCACGAGUUAAUGAAUGCGGUGACGAAUUUUGUGGAUGGGGAUAGAAAAGGCCUUGAGAAUAAUAUCAGAGUCUGUUUAUCAUCAAACAGCUGUUUUGUAAAGGUGCCUAUAAAUCCAGAGUGCCCAAAUGCAAAACGCAACUUUUGGAAAGUGGAUGAUAGUAAAAUCACCCCAAAGAUACUGCGACGACACUUUCGUGGUUUGAGUGACGUUUUCCCUAACCUUUAUGGAAACAUGGAAAUUCUCUCUGCAAAGAAUGUGAUGGAAAACAAGGCAACCUACAAACGCCCUGAGGCAGAGAAGAAGUUUACCAGCCCGUUUUCCAUUGAGUCACUUUUGCAGCGAGAAAGCAGCAUCUCCGUGAGGCACAGACCUGUAGGCCUACAUGAUUGUGCAACCAGGAACAUUGAAAACAAGUUUCUGGGCCGAGCAAAUGGAGACAGUGGUUUGGCGUGCAAGAGGAAGACACAGGACUGGCCCAGUCAAACUGCAUAUGUCAAUUUCAGUGGAUCAUAUUCACACUUUUGUUUUCCUACUUACAGUCCGGGCCAAAUUAAUAAUGGAUGCAGUCCCCCUAGUGGACCAUCCAAGAGGUUGCACUCAGUUUCUGAACUGUCCUAUUGUACAGCACCCGAGAGCUUUAGAUAUUUCACUUUAAAUGCUUUGAGCUGGGCCUACAUGUAAAACUGCACUUAAAAUACACUUAACUUCCUUAGUGUACAUAUUCCUAUACAUCUUACUGAUUUACUUUGUAUUGCUGAAAAUAUCUGCCAGCUUCUCCAUUGCCAAAUAAAAUGACAGAGUGUUUUUAAAAUGUAGCCUGCAAGUAUAUGUUGGGAAAUAUCUGGUGUGGGAGACCUU